AGCGAACGCUGGCGGUAGGCCUAACACAUGCAAGUCGAACGGCAGCACAGUAAGAGCUUGCUCUUACGGGUGGCGAGUGGCGGACGGGUGAGGAAUACAUCGGAAUCUACUUUUUCGUGGGGGAUAACGUCGGGAAACUUCCGCUAAUACCGCAUACGACCUACGGGUGAAAGCAGGGGAUCUUCGGACCUUGCGCGAUUGAAUGAGCCGAUGUAGGAUUAGCUAGUUGGCGGGGUAAAGGCCCACCAAGGCGACGAUCCGUAGCUGGUCUGAGAGGAUGAUCAGCCACACUGGAACAGAGACACGUUCCAGACUCCGACGGGAGGCAGCAGUGGGGAAUAUUGGACGAUGGGCGCGAGCCUGAUCCAGCCAUACCGCGUGGGUGAAGAAGGCCUUCGGGUUGUAAAGCCCUUUUGGUGGGAAAGAAAAGCAGCAGGUUAAUACCCCGCUGUUCUGACGGUACCCAAAGAAUAAGCACCGGCUAACUUCGUG
rnacentral:rRNA from 1 species